GCGACGAUGGUGCAGCGGUAGCACGUCCGACUGUCUAAUUUACGGAUGGCUCUGGUUCGAUUCCAGGUUGUUGCC